GACGAACGCUGGCGGCGUGCCUAACACAUGCAAGUCGAACGGAGUUGACCUUCGGGUUAACUUAGUGGCGAACGGGUGAGUAACGCGUGAGAAACCUGCCUUUCAGUGGGGGACAACAGUUGGAAACGACUGCUAAUACCGCAUAAUGUAUUUUAGGGGCAUCCCUUUAAUACCAAAGAUUUAUUGCUGAAAGAUGGUCUCGCGUCUGAUUAGCUAGUUGGUGAGGUAACGGCUCACCAAGGCGACGAUCAGUAGCCGGUCUGAGAGGAUGAACGGCCACAUUGGGACUGAGAUACGGCCCAGACUCCUACGGGAGGCAGCAGUGGGGAAUAUUGGGCAAUGGGGGGAACCCUGACCGAGCAAUGCCGCGUGAAGGAUGAAGGUUUUAGGAUUGUAAACUUCUGUCAACAGGGACGAAGAAAGUGACGGUACCUGUGGAGGAAGCCACGGCUAACUACGUG
rnacentral:rRNA from 1 species